UACCUGACUGCUAUCGGAUUGAUACUAAGCCAUGUGAGUCAUUGUAGCAAUACAAGGCAUACAGCUCAGUAACACGUAGUCAAUCUGCCCUAUGGACGUGGAUAACCUCGGGAAACUGAGAAUAAUCCGCGAUAGAUCAUAAUGCCUGGAACGGUUUAUGGUCCAAAUGAUUCGUCGCCAUAGGAUGGGACUGCGGCCUAUCAGCUUGUUGGUGAGGUAAUGGCCCACCAAGGCUAUUACAGGUACGGGCUCUGAGAGGAGAAGCCCGGAGAUGGGUACUGAGACACGGACCCAGGCCCUAUGGGGCGCAGCAGGCGAGAAACCUUUGCAAUGUGCGCAAGCACGACAAGGUUAAUCCGAGUGUUUCCUGCUAAAGGAAUCUUUUGUUAGUUCUAAAACCACUGAUGAAUAAGGGGUGGGCAAGUUCUGGUGUCAGCCGCCGCGGUAAAACCAGCACCUCAAGUGGUCAGGAGGAUUAUUGGGCCUAAAGCAUCCGUAGCCGGUUCUGUAAGUUUCCGGUUAAAUCCACUAGCUCAACUAAUGGGCUGCCGGAAAUACUGCAGAACUAGGGAGUGGGAGAGGUAGACGGUACUCGGGAGGAAAGGGUAAAAUCCUUUGAUCUCUUGAUGACCACCUGUGGCGAAGGCGGUCUACCAGAACACGUUCGACGGUGAGGGAUGAAAGCUGGGGGAGCAAACCGGAUUAGAUACCCGGGUAGUCCCAGCUGUAAACGAUGCAGACUCGGUGAUGCACUGGCUUUUGGCCAGUGCAGUGCCGCAGGGAAGCCGUUAAGUUUGCCGCCUGGGAAGUACGUACGCAAGUAUGAAACUUAAAGGAAUUGGCGGGGGAGCACCACAAGGGGUGAAGCCUGCGGUUCAAUUGGAUUCACGCC
rnacentral:rRNA from 1 species